UGGGGAAUAUUGCACAAUGGGCGCAAGCCUGAUGCAGCCAUGCCGCGUGUGUGAAGAAGGCCUUCGGGUUGUAAAGCACUUUCAGCGGGGAGGAAGGCGUUAAGGUUAAUAACCUUGGCGAUUGACGUUACCCGCAGAAGAAGCACCGGCUAACUCCGUGCCAGCAGCCGCGGUAAUACGGAGGGUGCAAGCGUUAAUCGGAAUUACUGGGCGUAAAGCGCACGCAGGCGGUCUGUCAAGUCGGAUGUGAAAUCCCCGGGCUCAAACGGGGAACUGGAUUCGAAACUGGCAGGCUAGAGUCUUGUAGAGGGGGGUAGAAUUCCAGGGGUAGCGGUGAAAUGCGUAGAGAUCUGGAGGAAGACCGGUGGCGAAGGCGGCCCCCUGGACAAAGACUGACGCUCAGGUGCGAAAGGGGGGGGAGCAAACAGG
rnacentral:rRNA from 1 species